UACGAAGGGUGCAAGCGUUACUCGGAAUUACUGGGCGUAAAGCGUGCGUAGGUGGUGAGUUAAGUCUGUCGUGAAAGCCCCGGGCUCAACCUGGGAAUGGCGAUGGAUACUGGCUCGCUAGAGUGCGGUAGAGGAGAGUGGAAUUCCCGGUGUAGCAGUGAAAUGCGUAGAUAUCGAGAGGAACACCUGCGGCGAAGGCGGGUUGCUGGGCUGACACUGACGCUGAAGCGCGAAAGCUAGGGGAGCGAACGGG
rnacentral:rRNA from 1 species